AUUAAAUAUUUAAUUGAGUUUUCAAUUAAUUGAAAUUAAAUUUUUCAAUAUGAGACAAUAAAGUUUUUUUGUUUUGAGUGUGUAUGUUUAAUUUACAGGGACUUUUGAAUCGUUUACUUAACGGCGAUUUCGAGCUGGCAUUUAACUGCAAUCAACGUCUAUAGAUGGGUGCUGCUGCGGUUAUUAUUAUUAAGAAAACUUACCUUCCCACAUGGUCUGAAAAAAUAUUCAGUGGUAGAGUGAAGCCAAGCAGCGCCAUACUCGAAAUAAGAACGCAGGGCACGAUGAGAUUAAAGAAAUAGUAGAGGGUACGUCUUCGAAUUUUAAUUGUGAAUGUGAUGUCAACAUAGGGUUCUGGACAGCAUUGAUAAUUGAUGGUGUUCUUCUUUCCUGGCAUUCCUGCAAAAGUAAAGAAGAUAAUGUUACCUGUUGUACAUGAGGACGUCAGGUUUCCACAACUUGUUGGGUGUGAUACGAAGACCUUUAACUCCACCAUAUUCUGACUCGUUCCACUGGAGAUUGUAAUCUG